UACAGAGGGUGCGAGCGUUAAUCGGAAUCACUGGGCGUAAAGAGCUCGUAGGCGGUUUGUCGCGUCUGCUGUGAAAACUGGAGGCUCAACCUCCGGCCUGCAGUGGGUACGGGCAGACUAGAGUGCGGUAGGGGAGAUUGGAAUUCCUGGUGUAGCGGUGGAAUGCGCAGAUAUCAGGAGGAACACCGAUGGCGAAGGCAGAUCUCUGGGCCGUAACUGACGCUGAGGAGCGAAAGCGUGGGAGCGAACAGG
rnacentral:rRNA from 1 species